rnacentral:rRNA from 1 species
UUUAAUUCUAGUGGCGGACGGGUGAGUAACGCGUGGGUAACCUGCCUUAUACAGGGGGAUAACAGUCAGAAAUGGCUGCUAAUACCGCAUAAGCGCACAGAGCUGCAUGGCUCGGUGUGAAAAACUCCGGUGGUAUAAGAUGGACCCGCGUUGUAUUAGCUAGUUGGUGAGGUAAAGGCUCACCAAGGCGAUGAUACAUAGCCGACCUGAGAGGGUGAUCGGCCACAUUGGGACUGAGACACGGCCCAAACUCCUACGGGAGGCAGCAGUAGGGAAUCUUCGGCAAUGGACGAAAGUCUGACCGAGCAACGCCGCGUGAGUGAAGAAGGUUUUCGGAUCGUAAAACUCUGUUGGUAGAGAAGAACGUUGGUGAGAGUGGAAAGCUCAUCAAGUGACGGUAACUACCCAGAAAGGGACGGCUAACUACGUGCCAGCAGCCGCGGUAAUACGUAGGUCCCGAGCGUUGUCCGGAUUUAUUGGGCGUAAAGCGAGCGCAGGUGGUUUAUUAAGUCUGGUGUAAAAGGCAGUGGCUCAACCAUUGUAUGCAUUGGAAACUGGUAGACUUGAGUGCAGGAGAGGAGAGUGGAAUUCCAUGUGUAGCGGUGAAAUGCGUAGAUAUAUGGAGGAACACCGGUGGCGAAAGCGGCUCUCUGGCCUGUAACUGACACUGAGGCUCGAAAGCGUGGGGAGCAAACAGGAUUAGAUACCCUGGUAGUCCACGCCGUAAACGAUGAGUGCUAGAUGUAGGGAGCUAUAAGUUCUCUGUAUCGCAGCUAACGCAAUAAGCACUUCCGCCUGGGGAGUACGACCGCAAGGUUGAAACUCAAAGGAAUUGACGGGGGCCCGCACAAGCAGUGGAGUAUGUGGUUUAAUUCGACGCAACGCGAAGAACCUUACCAAGUCUUGACAUCCCUUGACAGGCAUAGAAAUAUGUUUUCUCUUCGGAGCAAGGAGACAGGUGGUGCAUGGUUGUCGUCAGCUCGUGUCGUGAGAUGUUGGGUUAAGUCCCGCAACGAGCGCAACCCUUAUGGUCAGUUACUACGCAAGAGGACUCUGGCCAGACUGCCGUUGACAAAACGGAGGAAGGUGGGGAUGACGUCAAAUCAUCAUGCCCUUUAUGACUUGGGCUACACACGUACUACAAUGGCGUUAAACAAAGAGAAGCAAGACCGCGAGGUGGAGCAAAACUCAGAAACAACGUCCCAGUUCGGACUGCAGGCUGCAACUCGCCUGCACGAAGUCGGAAUUGCUAGUAAUCGUGGAUCAGCAUGCCACGGUGAAUACGUUCCCGGG